ensembl:lncRNA NOVA1-DT NOVA1 divergent transcript
GUCGCUGGUCCCCGGCAACACGGCUCAGGCAAACGUAAGCGGCUUGUCGCAGAAACCAAGGGGUCCACGAAACGCGCUAGGCUAGAAGGCGGGAAGGAGAGAUUACUGACAGCCGUGCCAGCCAAUAAAAUAGAAAUCAACAGUGAGAGCUCAGAAAUUCCCAGACUGUUUUGAUGAUAAGGUCCAAGAACUUGCCAUGUGAUCCAUCACUACUAGACUCCCACAACUGCAUUAGAUUUGUUCAGGAUUUUCAUAUAAUUUUCAUAACUGGCUAAGUUCUGAAAUAACCCAUCUUGAAGACAUAAACAAUGUGCAUUGAUGGCUAGCCAGACUCUGUCCUGCCACAGUUCUCCUCCUACUCUUCAUUUCUUACCCCAAGGAGUAGUAAACAUGAAUCCUGACCCACCAAUGCAGUCCCAGAACUGAGAAAAGAUUCACUGCAGCUAAACAGAUUAUUUUUGCACCUUUGGAAAGCAACUGAAAAAGGAAGCCUGGAAAAAAUCCUGCCUAACAAAGCAGCAGUACUCAAAUAGCUUUAACUAUAAGAAAGAACUGAUUCAAGAUAUGAGAAGAGAUUUAAGAUAUAAGAUUAAAUAUAAGUGUAAAUGAUAUCCUCAUUUUUAUUGAAAUGCUGUGUAUUCCUAUUAUUUCAGUGAAAUGUUAAAUGGCAAAGGAUGCAUUUUUUAGAUUAUUUUUUUCACUGAAUUUUAAACAGUCUUUGAAGCAGAUAUUUCAUAUAACAAUAUCCAGAAACAAUAACACAUAUGUGGAUAAAGUUGAGUGGUUGGAUAAUGUAUUGUGCAAAUUAUCAAGAAGAA